rnacentral:lncRNA from 1 species
UUACUCAUUUUACUGAUAUAAUUAAUGAUCUUAAGAGCUUGGGCAAAUCUUAUUCUAACAGUGAACUUAUGAGAAAAAUUUUUAGGUCUGCUUAUCGAGCUUGGGAGGCAAAGGUGAUGGCGAUACAAGAAGCUAAGGACCUUAACACCUUAUCACUUGAAGAGCUUCUUGAUUCCCUAAUGAUGCAUGAACUGACCAUGAAACAAAAC